rnacentral:tRNA from 1 species
GAGGUUGUGGCUCAGUGGUAGAGCAUUUGCCUAGCAUGUAUGAGGCACUGGGUUCGAUUCCCAGCACUGCA